rnacentral:rRNA from 1 species
AGAGUUUGAUCCUGGCUCAGAACGAACGCUGGCGGCAGGCUUAACACAUGCAAGUCGAGCGCCCCGCAAGGGGAGCGGCAGACGGGUGAGUAACGCGUGGGAAUCUACCCAUCUCUACGGAAUAACGCAUGGAAACGUGUGCUAAUACCGUAUACGUCCUUCGGGAGAAAGAUUUAUCGGAGAUGGAUGAGCCCGCGUUGGAUUAGCUAGUUGGUGGGGUAAAGGCCUACCAAGGCGACGAUCCAUAGCUGGUCUGAGAGGAUGAUCAGCCACACUGGGACUGAGACACGGCCCAGACUCCUACGGGAGGCAGCAGUGGGGAAUAUUGGACAAUGGGCGCAAGCCUGAUCCAGCCAUGCCGUGAGGGUGAUGAAGGCCCUAGGG